UUUGCCUUCCUGGUGGGUGAUUCAGAGUCACACACGGUAGGUAAGGUGUAGAGGUGGAGGGUUGGGGGUAAAGGAGGAGUGACAGCUUGUGAGGGGAAUGAUCUUGGUUGGGCCAGCUAUUGGUCAUACUAGCCUUGGAAAUUCCACCCUUUUUACUCACCCACUUGUUAUUUCUUCAUCUACUCACCAAAUAUUUGUUGAGAACCUUGGUUUUAGGCACUAGAAAUAAAAUUCUGAGCAUAAGUGGCAAAGUCGCUAUUCUUGUGAAGUUUAAAAUCUCAUGGGGGAAGACAGACAAGCAUCAAAUAACCUCCAAGUACAGACCAACAGCGACAUCAGCUACCUGCUGUGAAGGGGAAGGCCAGGUGCUAUGUGGGUGGCACACGGCCUGUUUUGAGCCUUCAAAAAGAAGUGCUCGGAUGUUGCCCAGGGCACAGCAUCUUUUGGAGUUGCCCGGCUGUGUGUGGAUGAAGGAAGGCCUCUGAGGACCUUAGUGGAGGCCCCCAUGGCCCCCGGUGAUUUUCAGAUGACAAGUCUUUCAUGUGUUAGGGCACAUCCCCAAAUCUGCAGAGCAUUGAGCCCUUCUGCUCAUUCGGCUGCUGGGAAGGCCAGCCUGAACCCUGCAUGGUUGAUUUUUUUUUUUUGAACACUGGGCAGCUGAUUUAUACUUUCACCCUUUGGCUGUUUCUGUGAAGGAGGAGUUUUAAACAUAUCCCCAGAAUGGCCUCGUGGGCACACCAUGGUUUCCUCCAAGAACACUCAGAGGGGUAGGAAAGGCAGAGGUGGGAAACGUACGCAGGCCGUGAACAGAAAAGGCAGAAUAUUCAUUCCCAAGUUCGGUCUAAAGCCCAUGGUUGACAACUUUCAAGAGAUCUCACACUGUAUGUUGUGCUGUUUUUGAAAUGGGACUGAGAAGACUGAAAAGCAAUCCUACAAAAUGUUACCCGUGUUUAUCUCAAGGGUGGGAUCAUCAGGUAGUUUCAGUUUCGUUGUUCUUCUUAAUUUCUUGCAAAUACUCUAUUUUCGUGUACUACUGUGGCAAAUAGAAGAUAAACAGCAAACGUGAUCUUUUCCAAGUGGCGUCUGUUUGGGAGCAGACAUACCCUGAGGAGAUGUUUCCCUGCCGGUAGCUUCUUUGAGGCGAGUUACUGUGAAUCUCAACCGCGAAGCCCAGCUCAGGGUGUGGCGACAGCAGCCUCCCUCGGUGAGAGCAGCGGGCGGCAGGGAUGGAGAAGGCGCCUGUGUCAAGAGAUCCGAGGGGCUUCAGGGAACAUUCGAGGGAGAAGGUCGUGAGGCUCAGCCCUGCACACUCUGAAGCCUCCACGUGUGUCAGGUGGGGGCGUGGGGUGGGGCAGGCCUUCCAAAAUGACACUUUUGUUUUCAAUUAAACAUUAUCUGCACUGUCCAUGGGGCAGAGCUGUGAUGUCCAGUGUGUGGAUGGGGCUUGACUGUGAGGGCCUCAGACACCAAGCCCGCAGAUUCCUGAAAAAGCUCCGGUUCAAAAUUACCAAAGCCUUCCGGGUCAGGCUGUGGAAGUCAGUCAGGCUCCGGAAGCCAAGUUCCGGAAGUCAGUAAGGCCUCGGAAGUCAAGUCCUGGAAGUUGGGCUUGCAAUCAUUAGGUGGAGAUAUUGUUUGUUCUGUGCUCAGAAUUCCCUGGAGUGAGACUCAGGACAAUAUUAAAUCCAAUGAAUCACGCAGCUUUCAGGAGGGCAGGGCAGCACGCUGCAGAGCAGCACUGAAUGAUGGCUUGGCCUGGCGUCCCUGGUGGCAGCAGUGGCCGCACCAGGCACCGUGUUCUCAUUCAACAAAGACUCAGUUUUGAUGUGAGGACUGUGAACAUCUCCAGAACAGGAGACAUUUGGAAGAGCUUGUGCCCACUGGUAUCUGAAACUUGGCUGCUCAUACUCAGGCUAAGGAGCAGAGAUCUGGGAGAACAGGCCCUUUUCAUGGAAGAUGAGAAGUACAAGGGGAAGAACCAAAGCACACAAUUGCUUUUAAAGCUUCUGCUCAGAUGUGCUGCACAUCACACUCCUCACGCUGUUGUGGGCAAAGCAAGCCACAGGCCAAGCCUGGUAGUGGAUCAGCUCCCUCAAGUCUCAUGGCGAUGGGCGAGUGUAUCUGCUGUUACUGAGAAAAGAGAGGGGUAAAUAGUUGUGACAGAUGAUACAAAUGUGCACACCUCAGCUGACACAACUCCAGUGGAACAGGCUGUCUGUUGUACUGGAACCAAUGUGAGCUUUUGGAUUUUCGUCGUCUGUGCAUGAGAGAGAUUCCACUGGACACCAAGCUUAUCCACAGCCUCCAUCCAGAGAUAUCUGGAUUUAAUGAACACCCAGUCACUGCCUGCAAACAGGAGAUACUGAGUUUCCAGUACAUAAGAACUCCUAGAUGCAUGAAUACCUAAGAAGAAAUUAAAUGUGAAGAUCUGAUCAGAAACAUAGUGGAACCAGUGAACACUGGCCAAAAGAAAAAAAAAGUCCCAUUCCACUGCCUGGACAAUAGCAGGAAGGAAUUCCUUAUAGUUUCAUGCCCUGUAUUGGCUUUAGAGUCAUUAAUGAACAGUAUCUAUGUCGUAUGAUCCAUGAAGUAGUGAGAAUUGUUCACACCUGAAACCAUUUUCCUACUGGCUACAGAAACGUUACCAUCAUAUGAUUUAUUAUUAAGUGUUGUUUUCCUUGUCAACAUUUUGUGGUUUAACAGCCCACCUAAGUGUGAAUCAGUUAUCAACUGGCUUUCUUAUUGAAAAGACAGACGAGGCUGCAUGAAAAUGCUUAGCACAUGGGUAGGAAGCAGUGGAUGAAAAUAGCAGAAGUGGGACCCAGAAGAUGAACUCUUUUACAUUUGAUUAUUCAGAUUAUAUGUAAGUUCCCAUCCUGCUGAAAUCUCUUCAGCAGCAAGUUAACCUCCAACCUAAGAAAGAUGGAAGAAAUCAAGAGUUGAAGAUGGAGGGGACAGGGACAGUCUCUGUAUCUGUGUGCUCCCUGAGGUGGGGGCCCCUGCCUCUCCCAUCUUUGCACUCCUCAUGCCUACUGUGUACCUGGUGCAGACCAGCUGCCCUGAAAUGUUUGAGGUGCUGUGUUACCAUUGCCUCUUUUGAUUGCCCACCGAGUGCCUCCUGAGUCAUGCACCCCAUCACAGCCCUCACGCAAGGCCUGGAGACAAACCCAGCACACACCGGCCUAGUAUUAAUUCAUAACCAUCAUCAUGUACCUAAGAUUCUACCUACCUGGAUGUUGAUUGAUGAAAUUUAUAAAGUAUUAGAAGGACUUCAAAUCGACUUACAACUAUCACAUAUGAAAUGCACAAAACCAGCUUUUAAAGCCUUCUAUAAUUUGUUUAAGACUGAAGAACUUUAAGACCAUUACUUUUAUUUAUUUAUUUGUUUGUUUGUUUGUUUGUUUGUUUGUUUUUUGAGGGACAGAGUCUCGCUCUGUCACCCAGCCUGGAGUGCAGUGGCACAAUCUCGGCUCACUGCAAGCUCUGCCUCCCGGGUUCACACCAUUCUCCUGCCUCAGCCUCCCAAGUAGCUGGGACUACAAGUGCCCGCCACCACGACUGGCUAAUUUUUUGUAUUUCUAGUAGAGAUGGGGUUUCACUGUGUUAGCCAGGAUAGUAUCAAUCUCCUGACCUUGUGAUCUCCUCGCCUCGGCCUCCCAAAGUGCUGAGAUUACAGGCAUGAGCCACUGCACCCGGCCCUAGACCAUUACUUUUAAAAUGUAAAAAAAAAAAAAAAAAAAAAAAAAAAAAA